rnacentral:rRNA from 1 species
CUUGUAGGCGGUUCGUUAAGUCUGGUGUGAAAUCUCCCGGCUCAACCGGGAGGGGUCAUCGGAUACUGGCGGACUAGAGACGGGUAGAGGAAAGCAGAAUUCCCGGUGUAGCGGUGAAAUGCGUAGAUAUCGGGAGGAAUACCAGUGGCGAAGGCGGCUUUCUGGGCCUGUUCUGACGCUGAGGAGCGAAAGCGUGGGGAGCAAACCGGAUUAGAUACCCGGGUAGUCCACGCCCUAAACGGUGGAUGCUAGGUGUGGGGGGUGUCGACCCCCUCCGUGCCGCAGCUAACGCUUUAAGCAUCCCGCCUGGGGAGUACGGCCGCAAGGCUAAA